GCAGAGUAGCUUAAGGUGCGUUAAGUGUUGCGGGAUGGGAUGUUGCCCGCAAACGAAAGAAGAAAUUCUGCGGUACCUUUUGCGCGUCCGUUG
rnacentral:ncRNA from 1 species